GGGAUACCGUAGCGAAAGCUACGCUAAUCCCGCAUACGUCCUGAGGGAGAAAGCGGGGGAUCUUUGGACCUCGCGCGAUUGGAGCGGCCGAUGUCGGAUUAGCUAGUAGGUGAGGUAAAGGCUCACCUAGGCGACGAUCCGUAGCGGGUCUGAGAGGAUGAUCCGACACACUGGGACUGAGACAAGGACCAGACUCCUAUGGGAGGCAGCAGUGGGGAAUUAUGAGACAAUGGGGGCAAACCUGAUCCAAGACCAUGGCGAGUGACGUGAAGAAAAGGCCUUCGAGGGUUGGAAACGACCUAUCGGGCCGGGAAGAAAUCGUGGUCUCUAACAUAGGCCAUGGAUGACGGUACCCGGGACUAAGAAGCACCGGGCUAACUACGUGCCAGCAGCCGCGGUAAUACGUAGGGUGCGAGCGUUAAUCGGAAUUACUGGGCGUAAAGCGUGCGCAGGCGGUUUUGUAAGACAGAUGUGAAAUCCCCGGGCUUAACCUGGGAACUGCGUUUGUGACUGCAAGGCUAGAGUACGGCAGAGGGGGGUGGAAUUCCUGGUGUAGCAGUGAAAUGCGUAGAGAUCAGGAGGAACACCGAUGGCGAAGGCAGCCCCCUGGGCCUGUACUGACGCUCAUGCACGAAAGCGUGGGGAGCAAACAGGAUUAGAUACCCUGGUAGUCCACGCCCUAAACGAUGUCGACUAGUCGUUCGGAGCAGCAAUGCACUGAGUGACGCAGCUAACGCGUGAAGUCGACCGCCUGGGGAGUACGGCCGCAAGGUUAAAACUCAAAGGAAUUGACGGGGACCCGCACAAGCGGUGGAUGAUGUGGAUUAAUUCGAUGCAACGCGAAAAACCUUACCUACCCUUGA
rnacentral:rRNA from 1 species